CGACUCACCCGUCUCCCUCUGCGCGGACUCAUCUGCCCCGAUCCCUCUCGUAAACCCCGAUCCCCAUGAAAUCGCUCCUCUCCUCGCUAUCCCACCGCACAUAUGAAGCCCUAGCGCGCUUCUAGGGUAGGGUUUCUCUCUCUCCCCUACCUCGUCACGCCGCCGCAUGAAACCCUAGCGCGGUGCGGUCUCUCUCUUCCUCCCUCCUCCGCCGCCGCAUGCAACCCUAGCGCGCUAGGGUCUCUCUCUCUCUCUCUCUCUCUCUCAGCAGCGAGGAGGCGGAGGUUGUGGACGGUGCUUCUUGCAAUCUCUGAGCCUUUGAUUCCUCAUCUAACGACGGCUAUUUUCUGAGGGAGAAGUCCGUGAAACUCUACAUUGCUGCAACAUUCUCUGGUCAUGGACAAAUCUAGAUCUCUUCCUCCUCACAUUCGGUGCUACCAGUCGACAUCACUUGACGGGUCAGGACUCAUUGAUUGUUAUUGGGUAGGCAUAUCAGCCAUAUAAUACAUUUUUUUUUUCCUUUCAUGUCUUGGUAGAACAUUGGAGUUUGAUUAACUGGGUUAUAAAUGAUAGAAUCCUUAUGAAGCACACAAUUUUGU